GUGGAAAACCUGCAUUUUACACUGACUUGUAAUCAGUAGGUCCCGGGUUCGACUCCUGGUGCCGGCACCA
rnacentral:tRNA from 1 species